rnacentral:lncRNA from 1 species
GGGUGACUCAGCCUGGCCUUUGAAUGCUCUCUAUUCAUGGGCCCAGGCCUUUGUUUAAAUCGGGCUUGGUUGUGAAGACCAAGAACUGGCUGAACUGGUCCGGCAGCUCCGAGCCCUGCACACUUCCCCGGGGAGCGCUCAGGGCUUUACCUGUCCCACCCCAGACUUGCGCAGGUGAAGAUAUGGUAAAAUGGAUCAUGGACCCACACUAAAAGACAGCUGCCAGUCAGUGUCACCUAAUUGUCUGAAAGCAACACUGGGACCCCACCAAUGCCAGACUUUUUUAAACAUUUUGGAACACUUGGACAACAGUUCUUAACAAGGUAAGGGAGUUGUCCCCAUGAGUAGGUAACCUUCCCACUGGGUGUGGAGCCU